rnacentral:lncRNA from 1 species
UGGCACUUUUGUGGCUGAUUUUUUUUAAUCUGUUGCAGACUGAUGCGAUGCAACUUUUUCACAGUCCAACGGAGCUGUAGUAUGGUCUGAAGCAGCUGCGUCACUGUAUGCGCUGCAAUCAUUGGUAAUGCAGCUGUGUCACUGCUGCAACUGCAGUAUUGUGGCCAUAUUAGGUGAUAUAGUCCACUAUUUAGAACCUUCUUUAUGACAAUAUGGUGGAUCUUCUUCCUACCUUUUUAGAAGUAGAAGAGCUGAGAUACAUUACUUCAGGGGUGAGAACAGUAAUGUAGGACUCUCUAUACUGAACACUUUCCUGAUUAAGAAUGUUGGAUUUGAAAAUUACAUACUAUAUCUUUUGCACAUUUUUGGAUAUUAUUAUUGGAGACUAACAUUGAAAACAGAAGCCCUGUUGAGACUCACAAUGGCUUGUGUAGAACAUUAUGUCCAAUAUUAUGCAAUAAGUUUUUUGGUUUGUCAGACAAUAGAAAAUAACAACCAACAUUUAUAAGCCCUAUAGAGUCUGGCAAUAGGAUUGCAAGCAACAGUGGCUAUAUUUAGGUCAUUUUCUUUAGGCCUGCAAUGGAUUGCAUUUUAAUCAAAUAUGCUCAUUUUAGUUUGACUCUCUAAUAAUGACUGAACUAGUCUUAACUCUUUUUUGAAGGGUUGCAUUAGGCUUAACUCAGAAUGAUGGAUAUGAACUUGUUUAUCCUGUGGCUUAUUACGUAUACUUCUAAAUUUUCCGUACUGCAUAUUCUUGAGUAAACUGAAGCAACAUUAACAAACUAAAAGGCUCCUGUUGGACAUGUAUGAGUUCUCAUCCUUUGCUUGAAAAUGCAGGAGUGAUAAAUUCACUACCAUUACGUGAUAAUUUAAUGUCUGUUUUGGUUAUUUGAUCUUUCCUCUUUUGUGAUGCCAAAGACUCAAAAUGUGUCUUGUACAAUUUCUUAUGAUACCAAAUUUGAUUCCAAGUAUAGUGCCCAUGAAAACAGAUUGAGUUCAAAUUCAUUGAGAACUAUAGGGAUACGAAUAUGCAAUGAUAUCUUGUGCCAUUAGGGCUUAGGGUGAUGCUUGAGUCACUGUAUUCACGGGAUCUUGUCCCAAUUUAUGUUUAUAAGAAAAGAGAUAGAAUCAUUUUCAUGUCUUACAAGUGAUACACCCUACAAGGUUUCGAAUACCUAAAAGUCAGAAUCUCAUGAGAGUUCUAGGGUAUAUUAAUAGUAGACUUCUACAAGGUUCCUUAAUUGCAUUCCUUCGAAAGAACACAUCAUGGGACUAGAAAUAAAGGAUUAACUCAAGCUCCUAACAUAAUACUGGUAACAGUUCGUGUGGUCCAUCCUACAAAUAGUAUAGACAAUACGAAUACAUGACCGAUAAAAUGGGUAUCAUUUUUAUCCUAAAAUAUCUCUAAUACUUUGGUGUGAGACAUAUGUAUAUGCAAAAAGCGAGUGUAUCAUAUUGUGUGGGUUGAGAAACAUACAAAGUUGAUUAAAAUAACACUGUCCCCAAAAGUUGCAAAAUAAAUGAGUAAAUAUAUAAAAUUUAAAUUAUUAUAUACAAAAAUUUAAUGCUGAAAUUAAUUAAACAUGAUUCAAACAAGGGAAUGUUAUAAUAGUUCAGUAAGCAGUGAUUCUAGGUCUGGCUCUCUUAAAAAUAUUCCUAGUGGAGCCAUUAGUUGUCAAGAUAUGGUUUUCAUUUAUCAUUGAGUAUGUGACUUGAGAGGGAGAAAUGAGAGAAUUAUACCCUCUUCCUAAUGAUGAGGAGUCACUAUUAUGUUUUUGCAACCAAAGCAUAUAAAACCAUCUUUAUGUCCACAUUUGGAAUGUGUUAGCCUUAAAUUAAAGAUCUAGAUUCAUGAGUCUAUUAUGAGUCAAAGAAUGUAUUUAGCACCAUAUUUGCUUAUGUUAAAACGGUUCUAUCACUACUUGUAUGAAUUAUUUAUACCCUUAACUUGUUUGACUAUUUAUUUUAAUUAUUCAUUCCUUAUAACACAAAAUUUUAUAUUGCUCAUAUGUAUUUCAUAAGCAACAGGGAAUUAAAACUAUGUAAUUCUACAUAAAAAAUGUAUGAUUGUUAGGUGUGUUUUAAUUAUUUUUAGGAAUAGAAACAACGUGUCGGAUCAUUCAAAUGAUAAGGGAAAAAUAAAUUUAUACAACCUUCCUCCAUACUGAAAUUGACACAUUUUUUUUUUGCUUUUUGCUAUUUCAAGGUAUUUUUGGCACAUAACAACGAUCACCACUUUUGAAAUUUUAAGAAUUAUCCGGCCAGACAUUACUUAAUAAUUUUCCAACAUUUAUAUUCAGAAUCAAUUAGGGACAUUUGCCCUGUCAUUACAUAUUGGCCAUCCAACUAUCCAACAUUUCCAUUCGGGUUCAAUUAUAGACAUCCGACCAAUCAUUACUUUAAUGAUUAUCCUACAUUAUGGUUCAAAUUCAUUAAUGAAGGUCCAAAGAUCAUUACUUUGGGAAAUAUUGAGAAUUAUCCGACCAUACAUUACUUAUUAUCCAACAUUAUUGGGCAAGUUCAGUUAGGAAAAACCCGGAUUUAUCCGGGUGGACAAGUAGCCUAAAUUAUGCAAAUCACUUGUUGUACAUCAGCCGAAAAAUAAAUUGACAAGGCAAGAUAAAAAAGAAGGCAGUCUUCAUUCACUAAGGGUCGGAUUAAAUCCGACCAGUUACAAAAAAGAAAAGAAAAAAAGAAAGAUACAAAUUAUAAGCCCCCACCACUUCUACCCAGAACGUGAAGCUUCACUAGGCCCUCCUCCUCAUCAGCAACCAGCUCAACCUCGGAGGUGACCCUGGCAUCGAUCAUGGUCCAAGACCAAUCAGCACCAGGAAUAACUAACCGGACUUGAGCGGAAGCAUUGUCCCACGUCGCGUUAGCCGCCACAACGACAUCAUCUUCUAAGUCCUCAUAAGACGCCUUCAACCGGGACAGCUCAUCAGCCAACCGAGCGAUGUUAGCUUUGGUUGUCUCCUCCCACUCCUCCGACAACUUCAACUUGGCCCCAAGUUGACGCCUAUCCUCUUCAGCCUGACAGAGGCAGUCGCCCAAAACACCUAUCUCUCAUUCGGCAGCCACCAUUUCCACUUGGGCCUACAAUGCUACCUCUCGAGCAUCAUGGAACUAGAUUGACAUGGCCGAUAGUUGCUCACCAGUAGUCAGGUUCUGCUCCUCCUGGACCUUCAGGCCUUCAGUAUACUUCUUCUCCAAUUCAUGGAGGUAUGCUAAAUGUCGCUCUUGAGAUUGGUUAGGGCAUCCUCCCCAACCCGGGUGGUCAGUACUCCCUCACCCUCGAAGUACUUCGCCAUAGAAGCAAGCAGAACCUCGGCCUCCUAGACUCUCCUUAGCAGCUCGGUCACGAGCAUGAAUUCCAUGGUAUCCAGCAUCCAUGGGUUAAGUAACCUAGUUUCAACCACAUUGGGAACUCGAUACAUGAAAGAAUAUUUGACGGAAGUCUUUCGUUUACCACUAGUAGGGGUCUUCAAUUUGGCGAAGUCUUCAGCACGGGGAUUAGAAACCCUAGUAGGAAAGGCUUCAUCCCCAGUUAGAUCAACCAUAUGGACAUCCGCCACGACACGGUCGGCGGUGACUGGAGGCUCAGAACAAAUAGGUAGAACGUAUGAUGGCCUGGUGGUUGAACCAUCCCCCUGGGAAGAUUCUGCACGAGUAGGUGAAUCAAAUCUCGCCUUUUUCGUGAUAUCAUCGCUCUUCCUCUUCAAAGCAGCCCUUCUCAAAGGCCUUGAUCAAUCGGAUUGGUCGCUCAUAGUAGUUGCUGGCAAAAAAGAAAGAAACAAAUCAGAUCAUGCAAAGAUACUAUAAAAACAGAAGUGUAUAAACCUAGUUGCUCACCGACUUUCAAUUCGAAAAUAUGAUCCCCUUGACCAAAUUAUAGCACAUUUUAACUCGACCCUCCUCUAUCCACGAUAACAUCUCGUCUGCCCCCUCCCUUUGUUGGAGACUCAACUGGUCGUACGAGAGGCUGAAUGAUUUGGCUGGUUUUUGGUGUAUCCCCAUGUUCGAGGAGAAUGGAAACUAGGGAAGACCAUCAGGCCCAUAAGCCCAGGUAUGACGAUCACCCUGGACUUUUACCCGGAUUAACCCGGUUUUCCAACCCUUGACGGACCCCUCAAAAGGCUGGAAGAGAGCACGCUCGUUUCUAGACUGAAGCGACGUCCACUCGCGUCGACCUGCAUCAUUCUCGUAUUUGUUAGUACUGUGUCCCACCUAGAACAGACGAAGCAUGCACAACCGUUCCAUAACUUCGCAAAAUAUCUUGAUGGCUCGAAUGAACCCCCAAUAGUUGGGAUGAAGUUGAGAAGGGGCUACUUGGAGGUGUUGCAACAUUUCGACAUGCCAUCCAUCAAAGGGCAACCUCACCUCGAUCCGGCGACAAACGUACUCUUACAUAUAGAAGUUGUGACGGUCGCCGCUUUCUAGAAAAAUAUCUUGGUAAACUCGUUCUUUUGUAGACGGGCUGCACCACGCUAUGCCCUCAGUUGGGUGGGCUAGCAGAUCCACACGAUGAUGCUUGUCUGUAGAAUAGAAAGAAGCACUACCAACAACCUCUCGGUCCACCCACUAGUAAGGAGACUCUAGGACCAUCAUCUCCGGUGGAGGAGUAUACUAGUCGGCACGUUUAGCAAAAUUCCUCCCCAUGUGUGACCUGUCACCAAAAGAAGUGUCACACUCCGAAGUGGAUAUACCAUCCAAGACCGGACACCAUUUCUCGUAAAAGGCUGUUCGGUCCAAGACAUCAACCUCGUCCCUGCCCUCUUUCCCCCUCAGGUCGCACAAAAGAGCAGGAAGAGACAAUUGUUGAGGCCGCCCCCACGUACAUUGAUGCCUUCGGUGACAAGAAGCGAGGUUUGUGAAAAUUGGUGGGGGUUUAGACAAGAUCUCUAGCUCAUCAUAACUAGAACCUCCGCUGGACAUAAUUAAAAAAGUAAAGAAGAAGAAAAGGAAUUACCGGUUAAAGGAAUGAAGCCUUUGAAAGAGAGGAAACUUCUAGAAGAAAAGAAAGCUCGCCCAGAUGCAUAAAUGCUCAAAGAUUCGGCAAGAGAAAAUGCGAACAACAAGGUGGAGAUCAUAGAAGGGGAAAACCUCUAUUUAUAGGGAAUGACCCAAGCCCAGAUCUCCCCAGAGGCCCAACCCAAAAAAUGCAUCUACCCGUCCAAAAUCACUCAAGAGUAAUCCAACAGUGGCGUAGAAACCUAGACGGCCGAACUGAAACGAGCAGACGCGUGAGUUGGUUAUCCCAAACUAUCAAAUAGAACGCCAUGUGUCCUCCACGUGUCCGACGAAGACAGAUAGUCACCAUGGCCUACUCCUACACCUAUAGGCCACCCUUAUCCAUCAAAUCGGAACAUUUGAGUCUACUAGUUCGAUUCGCUCUCGACCAACCGAAUAGACUAGGGGUAAUUGUUCCACCCUCGAUAAAUCCAGAUGUUUCCUAACCCGUCUCGGGCGUGUAUGUGUGUCUUAUACUACCAUCGCUCACGCGCCCAUGGAGAGUUGGGCCCACCGAAAUCGCCAUAAAUGCUCCUGACACGUCUUUAAUGUCUCAGGCAUCCCAUUAAUGUCUAUGACACCUCAUUAAUGUCUCUGACACCGUCAUUAAUAUGCCACAAACAUCUUAAAUCAUGACUACAUUCCACCUCCCACGUCGCCUGCACAUCCUACUUGUCUCCCGACAAUUCGACAAACACAGGCCUGCAAACGGAAUAAGGACAACCGAACAUAUCCCAUUGAACCCGCUAGAUUCUAACCAAUAGUUGGGUGCCAUGUCGAUGACCUCCAGGCUCUAUAAAUAAGGAGUCCCACAUAUGGAGUAUAAUUAAUUUUCAUUCCCUCAUUUAUUGCCACAUUUGUUGUUAUUUACUCUAACUUCUCUCUCUAAAACACUUUAGUAACUUGAAUGUGAGAUGACCUUUUCAUGUACCUCCCCCGACAGGUCCAGGCAAUAUUCCGACCAAGACUCCUAAUCUUCUUCACUCUACUGCACAUGUGAGACUCCUCUCAAGUAAUGGAGAGGCAAAUGACUUUUUCCUUUGUAUUUUAAGGAUAAAAGUAUAAUAUCAUUACACAUAAAAAGGAUAUAAGUAUCAAUAUAUGUUACUUUUUAUUCACUUUUACGCACCACUUGCAUGGAGAGGAGUCUCACUCCUUAUACUGACCAUCCCAAAAGUUAUAUAUGAGAGUGAAUCAUAAUUAAAUAUUAAAUAUGAUAUAUCUAUUUUCAACUACAUUAUAUACACAUUAAUUUAAAUUUUAUUUAUGAUUUCUUUUUCCGAAAUACAUCUCAAAGUUUCACUCCCGACCAAAAUAUCAUCUUGGAAAUCUCCGGUUCAGGGUUUAAGCUCUCUCCUCCUUCUCCUUCUUCAUGCUCGCACUGGCCACUUCCACUCACUCUCAUACUUUACCAAUGGAUUUCUCUCUUUCCACGUUACGUCACUCUCCUAACCUCUCACUCAAUCUCCACCGUUCAUCUCUCCCAUCUCCCUUAUCCUCUUCCUCUUCCCUUUCUUUCAAGUCCCUUCAACCACCACUACCCUCAACGUCGUCGUUUAAACUCUCAUCCAUCAAAGCCUCACUAAACGACUCUGCGUUUCAUAAACCCACAAAAACCUCAUCCUCCAAUCUCCUCCAAACCCUAAUUUCCCCUUUCCUCUCCCCCAUCGUCGAAACCACAUGCAUCGUUAUCGCCGCCACCGCAUUCUUCUUCAUGCGCCACAUGCCCGUCACCGCCGCUCCUCUUCCGUUACCCUCCGCCGUCGCGUCGGAGCAAAACGUAGCCCCUGAUGAAGAAAGCGAGAGACUUAUCGAAUCGCGGUUGAGCGAAAACCCUAACGACAUUGAAGCGCUUCGCACUCUCAUGGAGCUGAAAAUUCGUGCUCGCAAAGUUAAUGAAGCGAUUCAAGUUAUUGAGCGCUUAAUUGGGCUCGAACCUGAAGAGGUUGAAUGGCCUUUGCUCAAAGCUCAUAUGCAUGUUUACAAUGAUGAUCAUGAACUUGCGCGCAAUGUGUUCGAGGAAAUUCUCCAGAGAGAUCCGCUUCGUGUUGAAGCUUAUCACGGCCUUGUAAUGGCGACUUCAGAAUCGAACCAGCCAUUGGAUGGUGUAUUGAAGAGGGUUGAGGAAGCAGUGGAGAAUUGCAAGAAGGAAAAGAAAGAUUCCGAGGUGCGAGAUUUUAAGCUGUUGAUUGCACAGAUUAAGGUGAUGGAAGGUGAUUUUUCAGAGGCUUUGAAGAAUUAUCAGGAUCUGGUGAAGGAAGAACCUCAAGAUUUUAGGCCUUACUUGUGUCAGGGUAUUAUAUAUACCUUGUUGAGGAAGAAAGAUGAAGCUGAGAAACAGUUCCAGAAGUUUCGGGGGCUUGUUCCGAAGAAUCAUCCUUAUAAGGAUUAUUUUGAGGACAACAUGUUUGCAACUAAGUUUUUCUCUCAGAAGCUUGAAAGGGAAGGAGCAGGUGCCAGGAACUAGAAAUAAUGCUAUUGUGGAUGCUUCUGUAAAGAGGUGUUAAUGAGUUUUUACCACUUUUAUUUUAAUGUUCCUUGCUUUUUAGUUAAGAAUGAUUUUGGAUAGUAAUCCAGGUGUUAUUGUAUUUGGUUAGUUUCGUAGUCUUCCUUAUUGGGUCGUGGUUGUGGUACAAAAUUACUCUUGGGUUGUUAUGUGGUGGGUUUAGAUUGUGAGGUCAAUGAAGAAAAGCUGUUUAGAUGCCAAAAGAGUCAAACUAAUGAAUUCAUCUAUUUUUUAUGGCAUUGUUAUUUUUGCGUUGUAAUCUCAAUUAUAUUUGCUUCCAUGUUUUAACUUUUAUGUUGUGGUUGCUGCCACUGUGAUUGCGGGCAUUGGGAUGAUAAUGCAGUUUCUUUCCAUUGCAGUGUGUGGCACUUUUGUGGCUGAUUUUUUUUAAUCUGUUGCAGACUGAUGCGAUGCAACUUUUUCACAGUCCAACGGAGCUGUAGUAUGGUCUGAAGCAGCUGCGUCACUGUAUGCGCUGCAAUCAUUGGUAAUGCAGCUGUGUCACUGCUGCAACUGCAGUAUUGUGGCCAUAUUAGGUGAUAUAGUCCACUAUUUAGAACCUUCUUUAUGACAAUAUGGUGGAUCUUCUUCCUACCUUUUUAGAAGUAGAAGAGCUGAGAUACAUUACUUCAGGGGUGAGAACAGUAAUGUAGGACUCUCUAUACUGAACACUUUCCUGAUUAAGAAUGUUGGAUUUGAAAAUUACAUACUAUAUCUUUUGCACAUUUUUGGAUAUUAUUAUUGGAGACUAACAUUGAAAACAGAAGCCCUGUUGAGACUCACAAUGGCUUGUGUAGAACAUUAUGUCCAAUAUUAUGCAAUAAGUUUUUUGGUUUGUCAGACAAUAGAAAAUAACAACCAACAUUUAUAAGC